AUGGGCGAAGCCUGAUCCAGCGAUGCCGCGUGAGUGAAGAAGGCCCUAGGGUUGUAAAGCUCUUUCGGUGGGGAAGAUAAUGACGGUACCCACAAAAGAAGCCCCGGCUAACUCCGUGCCAGCAGCCGCGGUAAUACGGAGGGGGCUAGCGUUACUCGGAAUUACUGGGCGUAAAGCGAGCGUAGGCGGUUAAUCAAGUUGGGGGUGAAAGCCCGGGGCUCAACCCCGGAAAUGCCCUCAAAACUAGUUAACUAGAGGACGGGAGAGGGGAGUGGAACUCCCAGUGUAGAGGUGAAAUUCGUAGAUAUUGGGAAGAACACCAGUGGCGAAGGCGACUCUCUGGACCGUUUCUGACGCUAAGGCUCGAAAGCGUGGGUAGCAAACAGGAUUAGAUACCCUGGUAGUCCACGCCGUAAACGAUGAGUGCUAGACGUUGGGGGGAACGCCCUUCAGUGUCGUCGCUAACGCAUUAAGCACUCCGCCUGGGGAGUACGGUCGCAAGAUUAAAACU
rnacentral:rRNA from 1 species